GGGUUGUGAGGUUAAGCGACUAAGCGUACACGGUGGAUGCCCUGGCAGUCAGAGGCGAUGAAGGACGUGCUAAUCUGCGAUAAGCGCCGGUAAGGUGAUAUGAACCGUUAUAACCGGCGAUUUCCGAAUGGGGAAACCCAGUGUGAUUCGUCACACUAUCAUUAACUGAAUCCAUAGGUUAAUGAGGCGAACCGGGGGAACUGAAACAUCUAAGUACCCCGAGGAAAAGAAAUCAACCGAGAUUCCCCCAGUAGCGGCGAGCGAACGGGGAGGAGCCCAGAGCCUGAAUCAGCAUGUGUGUUAGUGGAAGCGUCUGGAAAGGCGCGCGAUACAGGGUGACAGCCCCGUACACAAAAGCGCAUGUGCUGUGAGCUCGAUGAGUAGGGCGGGACACGUGGUAUCCUGUCUGAAUAUGGGGGGACCAUCCUCCAAGGCUAAAUACUCCUGACUGACCGAUAGUGAACCAGUACCGUGAGGGAAAGGCGAAAAGAACCCCGGCGAGGGGAGUGAAAAAGAACCUGAAACCGUGUACGUACAAGCAGUGGGAGCACCCUUCGGGGUGUGACUGCGUACCUUUUGUAUAAUGGGUCAGCGACUUAUAUUCUGUAGCAAGGUUAACCGAAUAGGGGAGCCGGAGGGAAACCGAGUCUUAAUUGGGCGUUAAGUUGCAGGGUAUAGACCCGAAACCCGGUGAUCUAGCCAUGGGCAGGUUGAAGGUUGGGUAACACUAACUGGAGGACCGAACCGACUAAUGUUGAAAAAUUAGCGGAUGACCUGUGGCUGGGGGUGAAAGGCCAAUCAAACCGGGAGAUAGCUGGUUCUCCCCGAAAGCUAUUUAGGUAGCGCCUCGUGAAUUCAUCUCCGGGGGUAGAGCACUGUUUCGGCUAGGGGGCCAUCCCGGCUUACCAACCCGAUGCAAACUGCGAAUACCGGAGAAUGUUAUCACGGGAGACACACGGCGGGUGCUAACGUCCGUCGUGAAGAGGGAAACAACCCAGACCGCCAGCUAAGGUCCCAAAGUCAUGGUUAAGUGGGAAACGAUGUGGGAAGGCCCAGACAGCCAGGAUGUUGGCUUAGAAGCAGCCAUCAUUUAAAGAAAGCGUAAUAGCUCACUGGUCGAGUCGGCCUGCGCGGAAGAUGUAACGGGGCUAAACCAUGCACCGAAGCUGCGGCAGCGAACGUAUCACCCAAGACAACUUUACGGAGUUGACGAUUGACGGAGCGAAGCGACGUCAAAGCGUUCAUUAAAGUCGAGUUGGCUUAGGGAUACGUUCGUUGGGUAGGGGAGCGUUCUGUAAGCCUGUGAAGGUGUGUCGUGAGGCAUGCUGGAGGUAUCAGAAGUGCGAAUGCUGACAUAAGUAACGAUAAAGCGGGUGAAAAGCCCGCUCGCCGGAAGACCAAGGGUUCCUGUCCAACGUUAAUCGGGGCAGGGUGAGUCGACCCCUAAGGCGAGGCCGAAAGGCGUAGUCGAUGGGAAACGGGUUAAUAUUCCCGUACUUGGUGUUACUGCGAAGGGGGGACGGAGAAGGCUAUGUUGGCCGGGCGACGGUUGUCCCGGUUUAAGGGUGUAGGUGUGUGUUCCAGGUAAAUCCGGUUCACUUUAACACUGAGGCGUGACGACGAGGCACUACGGUGCUGAAGCAACAAAUGCCCUGCUUCCAGGAAAAGCCUCUAAGCAUCAGGUAACAUCAAAUCGUACCCCAAACCGACACAGGUGGUCAGGUAGAGAAUACCAAGGCGCUUGAGAGAACUCGGGUGAAGGAACUAGGCAAAAUGGUGCCGUAACUUCGGGAGAAGGCACGCUGACACGUAGGUGAAGUGAUUUACUCAUGGAGCUGAAGUCAGUCGAAGAUACCAGCUGGCUGCAACUGUUUAUUAAAAACACAGCACUGUGCAAACACGAAAGUGGACGUAUACGGUGUGACGCCUGCCCGGUGCCGGAAGGUUAAUUGAUGGGGUCAGCGUAAGCGAAGCUCCUGAUCGAAGCCCCGGUAAACGGCGGCCGUAACUAUAACGGUCCUAAGGUAGCGAAAUUCCUUGUCGGGUAAGUUCCGACCUGCACGAAUGGCGUAAUGAUGGCCAGGCUGUCUCCACCCGAGACUCAGUGAAAUUGAACUCGCUGUGAAGAUGCAGUGUACCCGCGGCAAGACGGAAAGACCCCGUGAACCUUUACUAUAGCUUGACACUGAACAUUGAGCCUUGAUGUGUAGGAUAGGUGGGAGGCUUUGAAGUGUGGACGCCAGUCUGCAUGGAGCCGACCUUGAAAUACCACCCUUUAAUGUUUGAUGUUCUAACGUGGACCCGUAAUCCGGGUUGCGGACAGUGUCUGGUGGGUAGUUUGACUGGGGCGGUCUCCUCCUAAAGAGUAACGGAGGAGCACGAAGGUUGGCUAAUCCUGGUCGGACAUCAGGAGGUUAGUGCAAUGGCAUAAGCCAGCUUGACUGCGAGCGUGACGGCGCGAGCAGGUGCGAAAGCAGGUCAUAGUGAUCCGGUGGUUCUGAAUGGAAGGGCCAUCGCUCAACGGAUAAAAGGUACUCCGGGGAUAACAGGCUGAUACCGCCCAAGAGUUCAUAUCGACGGCGGUGUUUGGCACCUCGAUGUCGGCUCAUCACAUCCUGGGGCUGAAGUAGGUCCCAAGGGUAUGGCUGUUCGCCAUUUAAAGUGGUACGCGAGCUGGGUUUAGAACGUCGUGAGACAGUUCGGUCCCUAUCUGCCGUGGGCGCUGGAGAACUGAGGGGGGCUGCUCCUAGUACGAGAGGACCGGAGUGGACGCAUCACUGGUGUUCGGGUUGUCAUGCCAAUGGCACUGCCCGGUAGCUAAAUGCGGAAGAGAUAAGUGCUGAAAGCAUCUAAGCACGAAACUUGCCCCGAGAUGAGUUCUCCCUGAGACUUAGAGUCUCCUGAAGGAACGUUGAAGACGACGACGUUGAUAGGCCGGGUGUGUAAGCGCAGCGAUGCGUUGAGCUAACCGGUACUAAUGAACCGUGAGGCUUAACCUUACAACGCCGAAG
rnacentral:rRNA from 1 species